rnacentral:rRNA from 1 species
AAUCAACGCUGGCGGCGUGCCUCAGACAUGCAAGUCGAACGAUUAAAGCUCUCUUCGGAGAGUGUAUAGAGUGGCGCACGGGUGAGUAACACGUAAGUAAUCUACCCUCGAGUGGGGAAUAACAACCGGAAACGGUUGCUAAUACCGCAUAAUGCAGCGGCACCGCAAGGUGACAGUUGUUAAAGAUUUAUCGCUUGAGGAGGAGCUUGCGGCAGAUUAGCUAGUUGGUAGGGUAACGGCUUACCAAGGCUACGAUCUGUAACCGGUCUAAGAGGACGGUCGGUCACACUGACACUGAAUAACGGGUCAGACUCCUACGGGAGGCAGCAGUCGGGAAUUUUGGGCAAUGGGCGAAAGCCUGACCCAGCAACGCCGCGUGAAGGAAGAAGGCGCUCAGCGUUGUAAACUUCUUUUGGACGGGAACAAAGGCAUCACUGCGGUGGUGUUUGAGGGUACUGUCAGAAUAAGCACCGGCUAACUCCGUGCCAGCAGCCGCGGUAAAG